AGAUUGAACGCUGGCGGCAUGCUUUACACAUGCAAGUCGAGCGGCAGCGCGGGGGCAACCCUGGCGGCGAGCGGCGAACGGGUGAGUAAUGCAUCGGAACGUGUCCCGUGGUGGGGGAUAACCCGGCGAAAGCCGGGCUAAUACCGCAUAUGCUCUGAGGAGGAAAGUGGGGGACCUGCAAGGGCCUCACGCCAUGGGAGCGGCCGAUGUCCGAUUAGCUUGUUGGUGGGGUAAAGGCUUACCAAGGCGACGAUCGGUAGCUGGUCUGAGAGGAUGAUCAGCCACACUGGGACUGAGACACGGCCCAGACUCCUACGGGAGGCAGCAGUGGGAAUUUUGGACAAUGGGGGCAACCCUGAUCCAGCCAUGCCGCGUGCGGGAAGAAGGCCUUCGGGUUGUAAACCGCUUUUAGCCGGAAGAAUGACUGGGCGAAUACCCUGGUUUUGACGGUACCGGCGGAAUAAGCACGGCUAACUACGUGUCAGCAGCCGC
rnacentral:rRNA from 1 species